rnacentral:pre_miRNA from 10 species
GAAAGUCUCUGGAGUGUGCUGUUGUCCAGAGCCCUUUUUCUGUUGUACUACUGGCAAUUAUGAUGAGCAGUGCAAUAUUAAAAGGGCAUUGGCUGGCAGAAACAUGACCCCCUUUAGCA